rnacentral:sRNA from 1 species
UUUUUCGAAUCUAAGGACUUCUGAGAAAUUAUUCUUGGGAUUUAAAAAAAACAAAAAACAGUCAAUUACAGCUCUACUUUUGUGAUUUUCAUAAAAGAAAGAGGGAAAUGGCGUUAACCUCAAAUGAGAAAUUGGAGUCAGCUCUUAAAGAAAAAUUAGACUUUCUUGGCUGUCCUUAUACAGAAGAAAUAGAUGAAGCUGCAGUUUUAAAUCUCUUAACUAACCCAGGAGAAAUUCGACUAAAAAUACUUCAUUGGCUGUUUUGUAGAUAUGACUCUGAACUUGCUGAGUUUCUAGAACCUGGAUCUAAUUCUUUAGGAGCAAGAAAUGAGUCUAGAUUACAAAGUAAAAUU